rnacentral:ncRNA from 1 species
UUCGGCAAACCUAUUGAAAAGUAGGGACGCAAAGCUAUAGGGACUAAAUCCGGUAAGGAUAAGUCAGCCAGUUGCA